rfam:Candida parapsilosis strain CDC317 annotated contig 005807
GUAGCCGUGGCCGAGCGGUUAAGGCGCCAGGGUAAGGUCACAACUUUACCAUACUUUCCUGGUAUCUUCGGAUGCGCGAGUUCAAAUCUCGUCGGCUACA